GGUGAGAUGGGUGAGUGGCUUAAACCAGUAGUUUGCUAAACUGCCGUACGCGCAAGCGUACCGCGGGUUCGAAUCCCGCUCUCACCGCCA
rnacentral:tRNA from 1 species